UACAGAGGGUGCAAACGUUGCUCGGAAUUAUUGGGCGUAAAGCGCAUGUAGGCGGCACGGUAAGUUCGUUGUGAAAGCCCUUGGCUCAACCAAGGAAGUGCAACGAAAACUGCCGAGCUCGAGUUCUGAAGAGGGUCGCGGAAUGGCCAGUGUAGAGGUGAAAUUCGUAGAUAUUGGCUAGAACACCAGUGGCGAAGGCGGCGACCUGGGAAGAUACUGACGCUGAGAGUGCGAAAAGCGUGGGGAGCAAACGGGG
rnacentral:rRNA from 1 species